UGGGGAAUAUUGGACAAUGGGCGAAAGCCUGAUCCAGCCAUGCCGCGUGUGUGAAGAAGGUCUUCGGAUUGUAAAGCACUUUAAGUUGGGAGGAAGGGCAGUAAGCGAAUACCUUGCUGUUUUGACGUUACCGACAGAAUAAGCACCGGCUAACUCUGUGCCAGCAGCCGCGGUAAUACAGAGGGUGCAAGCGUUAAUCGGAAUUACUGGGCGUAAAGCGCGCGUAGGUGGUUCGUUAAGUUGAAUGUGAAAGCCCCGGGCUCAACCUGGGAACUGCAUCCAAAACUGGCGAGAGAGAGUAGGGCAGAGGGUGGUGGAAUUUCCUGUGUAGCGGUGAAAUGCGUAGAUAUAGGAAGGAACACCAGUGGCGAAGGCGACCACCUGGGCUCAUACUGACACUGAGGUGCGAAAGCGUGGGGAGCAAACAGG
rnacentral:rRNA from 1 species